GUAUAAAAUAUUGAGCACUGCAAUCAAUUAUCAUUUGAAAAAAUUAUUUAAAAUUAAAUUACGGUUAAAGGAACCAAAUUCGAUGUUUACAACCAAUUAAUUGGUAAUUAUAGUUGACGUAUACAAAAAUAAACAAAAUAAAACAAAUUUAUAAAUUAAAAUAAAAAAUCGAUUUAUAUUUGGGAAUAAAUUAAUGCAGAAAUUUGGAUAAAAAAGCAGCGUUAAGGCUUGAAAAGCUAGUGUUCCUUUGAAAAUGUUGGACAGAAAGAGAAGCAAAAUCCCUGAAACAUAAAAACUGUGUUUAUUACCAUCAAAAUCUUAAAACUAAAGGGAAGAAGUUCUUAUUUUAUAUUUAUAUAUAAGUUUUGUAAGUUUAUACAUAUUGUAAUGUAAAUAUUUUAAGCAAAAUAAAAUAGAUUUCAAAAUACACACGAUC